rnacentral:rRNA from 1 species
UACGGGGGGAGCAAGCGUUGUUCGGAUUUACUGGGCGUAAAGGGCGCGUAGGCGGUCAGCACAAGUCAAUUGUGAAAUCUCCGAGCUUAACUCGGAAAGGUCAACUGAAACUGUGCGACUAGAGUGCGGAAGGGGCAACUGGAAUUCUUGGUGUAGCGGUGAAAUGCGUAGAUAUCAGGAGGAACACCAGCGGCGAAGGCGGCGCUCUGGGCCGGAACUGACGCUGAGGAGCGAAAGCGUGGGUAGCAAACAGG